UCACACCUGUUCCCAUGCCGAACACAGAAGUUAAG
rnacentral:rRNA from 7 species